UGUUGACAAAGAGGCGAAAACUGGUUUGUAUGCAUGUAUGGACAAAAUCAUUUCUGAAGAAGACUACCUCAAAGUGAAUGAUCAACUUGAGGAUUUUCAUUUGAAGAAGGGAAUGUUUGGAUUUAGAGCAGCACAAGCAUGCUACAAAACACGAUCUCCUGAACGUUGGUGGGCUCAGUUUGGAGAUGAUGUUCCUGAAUUGAAAGCUUUUGCAGUUAAAGUUCUUAGCCUAACGUGUUCGGCUUCUGCAUGCGAGCGUAAUUGGAGUAUCUUCAAUCAAAUUCAUACAAAGAGAAGAAAUCGAUUAGCGGCAAAUCGAAUGAACAAACUAGUUUAU